AGUAAAUAGAUACCCCGGUAGUCCUAGCCGUAAACGAUACUCGCUAGGUGUCGGCCACGGUGCGACCGUUGUCGGUGCCGUAGGGAAAGCCGUGAAGCGAGCCACCUGGGGAAGUACGGCCGCAAGGCUGAAAACUUAAAGGAAUUGGCGGGGGAGCACCACAACGGGUGGAGCUUGCGGUUUAAUUGGAUUCAACGCCGGAAAUCUUACCGGGACCGACAGCAAUAUGAAGGCCAGGCUGAAGACUUUGCCGGAUUAGCUGAGAGGUGGUGCAUGGCCGUCGUCAGUUCGUACUGUGAAAGCAUCCUGUUAAGUCAGGCAACCGAGCGAGACCCACGCCCACAGUUGCCAGCGUACUCUCUGGAGUGACGGGUUACACGUGUGGGGUACCGCCGCUGCCUAAAGCGGAGGAAGGAAUGGGCAACGGUAGGUCAGUAUGCCCCGAAUAU
rnacentral:rRNA from 1 species